CCUUUCAUGCUGUGGCUCAGCCAUUGCGCUCCCACGGCAGGGCUGCUGGGGUUGGGGGGGCCAGUAACCCAUCCCUGCCAGCCCCCAGGAUAGGUUCGGGUAUGGAAGACCAGGAUUUGGGGGUGGGGGCUGCCCACCAACACCCCUAACUUUGUGUCCUCCCACAUCAGAUUCUCUGCCCUCCACCACGCUGCUUUGGGGGGCAGCCUGGAGCUCAUAGCCUUGCUGCUAGAGGCUCAGGCCACUGUUGACAUCAAGGACAGCAAUGGCAUGCGCCCGCUGCACUACGCAGCCUGGCAGGGCCGGCUGGAGCCUGUGAGGCUGCUGCUGCGCGCCUCUGCGGCCGUCAAUGCCGCCUCGCUGGACGGACAGAUCCCCCUGCACCUGGCUGCGCAGUAUGGACAUUAUGAGGUGUCAGAAAUGCUCCUCCAGCAUCAGUCCAACCCAUGCCUGGUCAACAAGGCCAAGAAGACGCCCCUGGACCUGGCCUGUGAAUUUGGCCGACUCAAGGUGGCCCAGCUGCUUCUGAACAGCCACUUAUGUGUGGCACUGCUGGA
rnacentral:sRNA from 1 species